CAAUAGCGUAUAUUAAAUUUGUUGCGGUUAAAAAAGCUCGUAGUUGGAUUUCUGCUGAGGACGACCGGUCCGCCCUCUGGGUGAGUAUCUGGCUCGGCCUUGGCAUCUUCUUGGGGAACGUAACUGCACUUGAUUGUGUGGUGCGGUAUCCAAGACUUUUACUUUGAGGAAAUUAGACUGUUUCAACCAGGCGCACGCCUUGAAUACAUUAGCAUGGAAUAAUAAGAUAGGACCUUGGUUCUAUUUUGUUGGUUUCUAGAACUGAGGUAAUGAUUAAUAGAGAUAGUUGGGGGCAUUCGUAUUUAACUGUCAGAGGUGAAAUUCCUGGAUUUGUUAAAGACGGACUACUGCGAAAGCAUUUGCCAAGGAUGUUUUCAUUGAUCAAGAACGAAAGUUAGGGGAUCGAAGACGAUUAGAU
rnacentral:rRNA from 1 species